GGAUUGGUGUUAGCUCGUCUCUAAAUGUUUGAUAGAAUUAUUAGCCCUUUUUAAAGUGGCUUUUGCAAACUGUUUUCAGACUGCAAAUGAGCCAGAAAGCCAAAGACACGACCAAGAACAUUUUCAAGCACUACAAUAGAGUAACUGAAGUCGUCUGACUGGACUGAAAGUAACACGAUAAACUGAAAAAUUGUCAACCGAUUACCCUCAAAAGGAGCCCGAAGUCCAGUGUUAGAAGCAGGUGGGAUUCCUGCAAUGAAGCUCUCUCACUGCAAGGUGUCAGCGGUACAGUGAAGGUGGUGUUGGCCACAUCCAGGAUAGCAUACCAAACGCCAUCAGUCUGGGCAGUGGAUUCAGUUACGGUCACAAUAUCUGGAAUGGCUUGGAUAUGGAAGCAACAACUGGAUUCAGUUGGUGAUAAUCCACUGUCUUAAGAUUGAGAGAAGCCACGCUCAAGAAGCUUCAUCUACCUGGAUCUGAUUUAGAUGAUGAAAUUCUGUACUUAAGCUUGAGCCCAAUGCAGUAAUGGCAUGAAACUAAGAAUUUUGGAAGCAGAGUAAGUGUAUUUUGCAUGUGGGAGAGAAAUUACUUGGAGCUAGAGAUGGUUAAUCUGUGGAUGACCCCCAAUGAACAACGCCUUCCAAAAUUCACGCUCUUAUGUAGUCCCCUCCCAUAUUGGGUCAGGGCUGAGCCUGGGACCUACUUUAACUAACAGAAUGGAGUGAAAGUGACCCUAUGCUAGUACAAAGCCUAAGUCUUAAGAGUAUCUGAAGCUUCUGUUUUUGUAUAUUGGAAGCCCUGAGCUGCCACAUAAAAAGUUCAGUUGCCCUGCUAGAAAGACCACAUAGAGAGACAAUAUGAAGAGGUUGCAUGGACAAGGGGAGGAAUAAUCCCUAAGAUUACAGAGAGAGAAACUGAGACAGAGAGAGAGAGAGAGAGAGAGAAGUUGAGAGAGAAGAAGAGAAACAGGCACAUCAAACCAGAUGUCCAUGCAUCACAGUUGAGCCCAGACCUACGGCUGUUUCCAUCAGGGUAUAAAACACAUAAGUGAGCCAUAAUGAGUGUUCCAGCCCAGUCAAGCUCCUAGAUGACUACAGGACCAGCCAACAUCAAGUGGAGCAAAACAACUACCUACCUAAGCGAAGUCAACCCAUAGAAUCUUGAGAAAUAAUAAAAUGGUUAUUUUAAGCCACUAAAUUUUGGAGUGGUUUGUUAUGGAGCAAUAAAUAAUUCACUUAUCAAAUGAAAACUGAAUAUUUUGGAAGUCAGAUUCAAUAAAGAAAUUAAAAGGCAAACCACAAAAACUAUGAAAAAGUAUGUGCCAUGAAUAUACAAGGUUAUUAUCUUUAUAAUAAAAAGAGCUCAUUAUAAAACCUAAACAACAUCACCAAAAACUCAACAGAAAAAAAUGGACAAUCUACUCAUCUACUCAUAGGGAAAAUCAAAAUGGCUAAUAAGCAUGAAAAUGUUUUAAUCAUUAUUUAAAAUAUCAUUAAUACUCAAAUAUCACUGGUCAGAAUAUAAAGUGGCACAAUCUUUCAGGAGAGCAAUUUGUCAACAUGCUAUUUCUAUAAAUAUAUGAGGAGAUAAUCACAGACACAAAUAAAUAGGUAAAAGAAUAUUAAUUUCAAGCUUAAUGUCCAAAAAUAUAGAAACUAUUUUAAAUUACUGAAUAUCAAUAUUUGAGGCUAUCCUGCACCUUGCAAAUUUUAAAGAAAAUUGAGGUAACAUGCUUAUAAUAUAAUAUCAAGUUUUAAAAAGCAUAAUAUAAAA